rnacentral:rRNA from 1 species
CCUACGGGAGGCAGCAGUGAGGAAUAUUGGUCAAUGGACGAGAGUCUGAACCAGCCAAGUAGCGUGAAGGAUGACUGCCCUAUGGGUUGUAAACUUCUUUUAUAAAGGAAUAAAACGAGGCACGUGUGCCUUUUUGCAUGUACUUUAUGAAUAAGGAUCGGCUAACUCCGUGCCAGCAGCCGCGGUAAUACGGAGGAUCCGAGCGUUAUCCGGAUUUAUUGGGUUUAAAGGGAGCGUAGAUGGGUUGUUAAGUCAGUUGUGAAAGGUUGCGGCUCAACCGUAAAAUUGCAAUUGAUACUGGCAGUCUUGAGUACAGUUGAGGUAGGCGGAAUUCGUGGUGUAGCGGUGAAAUGCUUAGAUAUCACGAAGAACUCCGAUUGCGAAGGCAGCUUACUAAACUGCCACUGACAUUGAUGCUCGAAAGUGUGGGUAUCAAACAGGAUUAGAUACCCCUGUAGUC